rnacentral:rRNA from 1 species
UACGGAGGAUCCGAGCGUUAUCCGGAUUUAUUGGGUUUAAAGGGUGCGCAGGCGGGAGAUUAAGUCGGCGGUGAAAUUUUGCAGCUCAACUGUAAAAGUGCCUUCGAAACUGGUUUCCUUGAGUGUAGAUGAAGUAGGCGGAAUUUGUGGUGUAGCGGUGAAAUGCUUAGAUAUCACGAGGAACUCCGAUUGCGCAGGCAGCUUACUAAACUACUACUGACGCUCGGGCACGAAGGCGUGGGGAUCAAACAGGAUUAGAUACCCCCGUAGUCCCUGAG